UGAGAGAAGAUGUAGUUCAAGGAUCUCUCUUCAGAACACAACAUCUUCCCUCACACCCUCAAUCAACCCUUGUUGUUAUGUUGUCCUCUCAGGUUCUACUGGCUGGUGAACCUGAAGUCGACGAUAGUGUUUCUGGGUAUCGCCUACAUCCAGCAAUCAGUGGCCAACAACCGGGGCUUCCUCAUCCUCUUCAUGUCUGUGCUGCUGAUGCUCAUCGCCAUACACAUGGUCUGCAACAACCUCAUCUUCAGGCCCAAGAAAGGUAACACAACCUCAACCUCAUCUUCAGGCCCAAGAAAGGUAACACAACCUCAUCCUCACCUUCAGGCCCAAGAAAGGUUAAUACAACCUCAACCUCAUCUUCAGGCCCAAGAAAGGUAACACAACCUCAACCUCAUCUUCAGGCCCAAGAAAGGUAACACAACCUCAACUUCAGGCCCAAAAAAGGUAACACAACCUCAACUUCACACAGACUAUGUAUCACCUUUUUGUGUUAGUGUAUGUAUAGACCUAGGUUUAAGUGGUCUAUUCUAGUAUUGAUGGGGUUGCUGUGGUCUAUUCUAGUAUUGAUGUGGUUGUUGUGGUCUAUUCUAGUAUUGAUGUGGUUGUUGUGGUCUAGUCUAGUAUUGACAUGGUUGUUGUGGUCUAUUAUACACCAGGUGAGUAUAAUCCUGAAUACUGAUUGGUUAAAACUGCAUUCCAAUAGGUUUCUAUUCCACAAGUUACCACUGGCUAUAUAUAUGGAGUUCCAUCUGACAGUGCAAUCCACUUUCUCAUCAGCCCAGCCAAGCAAUUUAUAAACUUGAUCUCCACUAUAUAAAUGCAUCUGGACAUUAUCUCAGAUUUAUUUUAGAAUAACAUUUAGUUUUCAACAACGGAGAUUUGUAUAAACCUUGCUGUCUGUCUGCCUCUCUGACAUUUGCAACUCUGUUUCAAUAUUCAAAUUCAAUCUCCGGCUGUCCCAUAUUAAUGAACAUGUCGGGAGUUGGAACGAGACAGACUGGCAGGCAGAGUUUCUCAGCCAGUCGAAAUCAUGAAAUAGCUGGCAUAAUUUUUAUGAAUAUACAAUAUACAAAGAAAUGUCAAUUUAGAAAAUGUAAAAUUAAACUAAGUGCAGUUAGUUUGCAGUCUUUCCAGCUUCAGUUUGAAGUGAUUGUGUUAGCUGUGUUGUUGGCUAGCUCCUCUGAACAACAGUGUCCUGACAAGAGAGCACCUUUUCUAUGCAAGGCAAAAUCAUGCAUCACUAGCUCAUUAUUAUGGAUGUAUCCAAAUAAAUGUCACUAGAAAACAGCUUAUACAAAUGCAGCUACUUUGUUGUUAUUCUGGCUGCACUGUUUGACGUGACUGUAAGUUAGCCGUAAUUGGCUAGCUAGCAAGCAAGGGAUAAGAAUGUUGCCAGCCAGUACACCAAUGGAACGUCCAGAACGAUCGACUGGGUCACGUCCAUAGAUACAGAACAAAAAGACUGAACGACUGGCAAACGAACCAAUAGAAUUAACGACCAGCCGGUUUGGGUAGCAACCCUAGAUUUGUGUCCGGACUACAUCUUGUGGAAGGACGAAAUAGUAUGAAUAAAUUCAUCAAAAUAAAGUUUUUGCUGAAAAUAUAUCAACCAUUUUCUGAAUAUGUUGGUAACCCAUUGCAAAAAAGUGAUAAUGCCCUGGAAGCCAGUGUUUGGAGGAUAUAUCAACUUCGUCUCAGGCCUAACAACAGCCAUUUAUCCUCCAAACACUGGCUUCUCGGGCAUGAUCACUUAAUUCUAGUAUUGAUGUGGUUGUUGUGGUCUAUUCUAGUAUUGAUGUGGUUGUUGUGGUCUAUUCUGGUAUUGAUGUGGUUGUUGUGGUCUAUUCUAGUAUUGAUGUGGUUGUUGUGGUCUAUUCUGGUAUUGAUGUGGUUGUUGUGGUCUAUUCUAGUAUUGAUGUGGUGGUUGUGGUCUAUUCUAGUAUUGAUGUGGUUGUUGUGGUCUAUUCCAGUAUUGAUAUGUUUGUUGUGCAGGCAGUUCCCUGUUGACCACUUUGGGGUGUUCCUGAUCUCUCUGAAGAGACACACGUGGAGAACGUCAAGGACCUGGCAAGGCUCUGUACGGCUUGCAGAUACUGUACUGCGCCUGCAUCACUCAGAGUAUGUCACCUCCUGCUACCUGUCCAUAGAGAAAACACCCUUCUCCCCCACCAGAGUCAUCACACUGGUUCAUGAGUGCGUCCCUGUCUGUCCUGGUAGUGGGCCUGUCUGUCCUGGUAGCUGGCCUGUUUGAGGUCCACAGGAAGGGCUAUC